rnacentral:rRNA from 1 species
UACGAAGGGGGCUAGCGUUGCUCGGAAUCACUGGGCGUAAAGCGCACGUAGGCGGAUUGCUAAGUCAGGGGUGAAAUCCUGGAGCUCAACUCCAGAACUGCCUUUGAUACUGGCGAUCUUGAGUCCGGGAGAGGUGAGUGGAACUGCGAAGUGUAGAGGUGAAAUUCGUAGAUAUUCGCAAGAACACCAGUGGCGAAGGCGGCUCACUGGCCCGGUACGUGACGCUGAGGUGCGAAAAGCGUGGGGAG